GUCUGGGUGGCUCAGUUGGUUAAGCACCUGACUGCAGCUCAGGUCAUGAUCUCAUGGUUCAUGGGUUCGAGCCCCACGUCGGGCU
rnacentral:tRNA from 1 species